rnacentral:rRNA from 1 species
UAGUCCACGCCGUAAACGAUGGACACUAGUUGUUGGGUUUUGGCUCAGUGACUAAGCGAAAGUGAUAAGUGUCCCACCUGGGGAGUACGAUCGCAAGAUUGAAACUCAAAGGAAUUGACGGGGGCCCGCACAAGCGGUGGAGCAUGUGGUUUAAUUCGAUGAUACGCGAGGAACCUUACCAGGGCUUAAAUGUGGUCUGACAGCUUUAGAGAUAGAGUUUUCUUCGGACAGAUCACAAGGUGCUGCAUGGUUGUCGUCAGCUCGUGCCGUGAGGUGUCAGGUUAAGUCCUAUAACGAGCGCAACCCCUAUCGUUAGUUGCUAUCAGGUAAAGCUGAGGACUCUAGCGAGACUGCCGGUGCAAACCGUGAGGAAGGUGGGGAUGACGUCAAAUCAUCACGGCCCUUACGUCCUGGGCCACACACGUGCUACAGUGGUUAGGACGAAGAGUCGCCAACUUGCAAAAGUGAGCUAAUCUCGUAAACCUAAUCUCAGUUCGGAUCG